rnacentral:rRNA from 1 species
UACGUAGGGAGCAAGCGUUGUCCGGAAUCAUUGGGCGUAAAGCGCGCGUAGGUGGCCUCGUAAGUCCGCUGUGAAAGUCAAAGGCUCAACCUUUGAAAGCCGGUGGAUACUGCGGGGCUAGAGUACGGAAGAGGCGAGUGGAAUUCCUGGUGUAGCGGUGGAAUGCGCAGAUAUCAGGAGGAACACCAAUAGCGAAGGCAGCUCGCUGGGACGUAACUGACACUGAGGCGCGAAAAGCGUGGGGGAGCGAACAGG